AAAGACAGCUGGGGAUUUGCAGCCCCCAAGCAGGAGGAGGGCUCAGAGGAUGAAAAAUUACUAAGAGGAGACAGCAAGGGUAGGACUCCCACUUAAACUGGGCCAGGUGGCCUAAGACAAGGCCUAGGGACAGGCCCAGUUGAAAAGAGGACUCAGAGGAGCCCGUCUGAAGUUUGGUCGAGGAGAGAGUCUUUAUCACGUGUUACGGGAUCUUGGGAAAACUCCCCUUUCCAGUUCCAGGUGCUGAUGCUGCUGGCGGACGACCACACUUUGAGAACCUCUCUGUCUCCCAAAUCGCUCUCCUGAUGGUUGCCCAAAGACAGACCAGGUCACUCUGCAGAGACCCUGCUUGCCUGACCGGGCACCGCCUCCUCUCAGGGAGCGCGGCACGGCUGAAAGAACCAGGAAGGGCAGGGCCCUGUCUCGUUCGUCUGUCAACCAUUUGCCAGGCAGCUUCCGUAUCUGCUGACCCAUAAAACCCACAGAUGUAAAUGACACACCCCAAUUUCAUAAGGAAACAUUUUUUUAAAAAAUUCAUUUCUUUUAUCAUAACCGUACCAAAAGCUUCUCCUUUUGUUCAGGUAAAUCGAGUAUUACAGGCAGGAAUAUUUUUGUUAAGAAAUGACCAAUAGGAGUCAAUGGGAAGUGAAAUGAUUCUCCCUGCCGUCUGUUUUGUGUUUCCACGCUUCGCCGCCAGGGGCUGGUGUAUUUUUUUUUGGCACUAAAGCUUCCAUCCUCAAAGCUGAUGCUUUGGAUACCAGGUAACUGGUGGAUCCGUGAUACAGACGCAGAUUCAUAUGUGGAUGUGGCUUCAGAGACAGAUAGAGCUGCAGAUACAGACACAGCUGAAGAUGCAGAAGUGAUGUUCCCUAAGGAGAAAGGACACACUUCCUCCCUCCCCUUCCCUCGGCCUAGAAUGUGGAUGCGGAGGGAGC
rnacentral:lncRNA from 1 species